GGUGAACGCUGGCGGCGUGCCUAAGACAUGCAAGUCGAGCGGGGCAGGUUUAUACCUGUUCAGCGGCGGACGGGUGAGUAACGCGUGGGUGACCUACCCUGAAGAGGCGGACAACCUGGGGAAACCCAGGCUAAUCCGCCAUGUGGUCCUAUCCUGUGGUGUAGGACUAAAGGGGCGACUCGCUUCCGGAUGGGCUCGCGCCUCUUCAGGUAGUGGGUGGGGUAAAGGCCCAUCAAGGCGACAACGGGUAGCCGGUCUGAGAUGAUGGGCGGCCAGAGGGGCACUAGGACACGGGGGCCGGUCCUACGAGGGGAAGCAGUUAAGAAUCUGCCGCAAUGGACGGGAGACUGACGGAGCGACGCCGCGUGGAGGGGGAAGCCCAUCGGGGUGUAAACUCCUGAACUAGGGACGAAGGCACUGUGUAGGGGGAUGACGGUACCCAGGUAAUAGCGCCGGCCAACUCCGUG
rnacentral:rRNA from 1 species